rnacentral:rRNA from 1 species
GUGAGGAAUAUUGCGCAAUGGCCGAAAGGCUGACGCAGCGACGCCGCGUGAAGGAUGAAGUCCGUUAGGACGUAAACUUCUUUUGCAGGGGAUGAAAACGUUGCUAUAUGCAACGGCUGACCGUACCCUGCGAAUAAGGAUCGGCUAACUACGUGCCAGCAGCCGCGGUAAUACGUAGGAUCCGAGCGUUGUCCGGAAUUACUGGGUGUAAAGGGCGUGUAGGUGGGUCUCUAAGUCGGUGGUGAAAUCCUGCAGCUUAACUGUAGAAUUGCCGUCGAUACUGGGGAUCUUGAGUGCGGCAGAGGGAGAUGGAAUUCAUGGUGUAGCGGUGAAAUGUGUAGAUAUCAUGAAGAACACCGGUAGCGAAGGCGGUCUCCUGGUCCGAUACUGACACUGAGGCGCGAAAGCGUGGGGAGCAAACAGGAUUAGAAACCCGUGUAGUCC